rnacentral:rRNA from 1 species
GACGAACGCUGGCGGCGUGCCUAAUACAUGCAAGUCGAGCGAGCUUGCCUAGAUGAAUUUGGUGCUUGCACCAGAUGAAACUAGAUACAAGCGAGCGGCGGACGGGUGAGUAACACGUGGGUAACCUGCCCAAGAGACUGGGAUAACACCUGGAAACAGAUGCUAAUACCGGAUAACAACACUAGACGCAUGUCUAGAGUUUAAAAGAUGGUUCUGCUAUCACUCUUGGAUGGACCUGCGGUGCAUUAGCUAGUUGGUAAGGUAACGGCUUACCAAGGCAAUGAUGCAUAGCCGAGUUGAGAGACUGAUCGGCCACAUUGGGACUGAGACACGGCCCAAACUCCUACGGGAGGCAGCAGUAGGGAAUCUUCCACAAUGGACGCAAGUCUGAUGGAGCAACGCCGCGUGAGUGAAGAAGGGUUUCGGCUCGUAAAGCUCUGUUGGUAGUGAAGAAAGAUAGAGGUAGUAACUGGCCUUUAUUGACGUAAUACUAGAAUCAC